CUAAGAGAAUGGAAGUCCAGAAAAAAACUUUUUUUAAAUUAAAAAUUGAAGUUUUUUUAAUUUGUGCAGAAACAAUUAUUUAUAUUAAAGACAAGAAGACCCUAUGAAUUUAUUAAAUUUUUAUUUAAUAUGUAAUUACUAUUAGAAGAAUUUUGGCUGGGGCGGCUAGAAAAUAUUAUAAACUUUUUAAAAAUAAAAUGAUCCAUUAUUAAUGAUUUUAUGUUAAAUACUCUAGGGAUAACAGCGUUAUAUUUUUUGAUAGAUCAUAUUGACAAAAAAGUUUGCGACCUCGAUGUUGGAUUAGGAUACUUUUUUAAUGAAGAUAUUAAAAAAAGAAGUUUGUUCAACUUUUAAUUUCCUACAUGAUCUGA
rnacentral:rRNA from 1 species